CAAUUUUGUAACGAUGUAACAUGUGAUUUUCAAUUCGUCUUUAGAAGAUUCGAAUACAUGAUACACGACAUAGACAUAAGCCUAUAUAUUGGACAAAGUUAGGCAUGUCAAUUCAACGCUUAACUCUGAUUAAACAAUACAUACGUGGAAACAAAGAGAGAAGCAAAUAAAUUUUAGUAUUAUUAUUCUAUUGGGCUAAAAAUCGAGAAGAUCCGGCCCAUUACUAAAGUUAAGGAUCCAUUCACCCGAGCGUUCCGCUGCUGCUGGGUUUAUCGUUCACCUUCGUCAGAGUCUUUCUUUUCUUCAUCUUCCCAAAUUGCCCAUGCUCCGAUCGCUUUCGCCGUCGCAGAAAUGACCAAGUUCAGGAAGCUCGGUCGCCCAGCUGGUCACCGUAUGUCCAUGCUCAGGACUAUGGUUUCUCAAUUAGUGAAACACGAGCGAAUUGAGACCACUGUCGCAAAGGCUAAAGAGGUCCGUCGUCUUGCUGAUAAUAUGGUUCAACUCGGCAAAGAGGGCACACUCGCUGCAGCAAGGCGAGCUGGUGGUUUUGUUAGAGGAGAUGAUGUACUUCACAAGAUUUUUACAGAAUUGGCUUAUCGAUACAAAGAUAGAGCUGGUGGAUACACAAGAAUGCUUCGCACUCGUAUACGUGUUGGUGAUGCUGCACCAAUGGCCUAUAUCGAGUUUAUCGAUAGAGAGAACGAACUAAGGCAAUCAAAACCAGCAACACCUCAACCGCCACCUCGAGUGCCGCUGGACCCAUGGGAAAGAUCCCGUCUCACCAGGCAGUAUGCACCACCAAAGGAGGAGAAGAGUUCUGAUUCCGACCUAUAAAUAUAAGUAUCUCUUUUGCUCUCUCUCACACCAAAAGAACAUGUUUCUCCUUCGACCCCCGUAGGUUUUGUGUGUCACGCUAUUCAUCACUGUCCUCGUUUUGUGUUUCACAUAAGUGGUAGAAGCCCACUCAUCAGCCUGAAUAAAAUUGGCGACCGAGUAAACAUCAACAUGCUUCUCUGGUAUCUCACUACUCCAUGGAACCCUACUCGAUCUAACCGAUCCCGGACCUGUAUUGUUAUACUCACCGUAAUA